AAAAAACCAAUGGCUAAACUUGUUGUUGUCUUCUUCUUGGCUCUCAUUGCCAUCUCUAUGCUUCAAACAAUGGUAAUGGCAUCACAUGGCCAUGGAGGUCACCACUAUGAUC